rnacentral:rRNA from 1 species
UACGAAGGGGGCUAGCGUUGCUCGGAAUCACUGGGCGUAAAGCGCACGUAGGCGGCUUGUUAAGUCAGGGGUGAAAUCCUGGAGCUCAACUCCAGAACUGCCUUUGAUACUGGAGAGCUUGAGUCCGGAAGAGGUGAGUGGAACUCCGAGUGUAGAGGUGAAAUUCGUAGAUAUUCGGAAGAACACCAGUGGCGAAGGCGGCUCACUGGUCCGGUACUGACGCUGAUGUGCGAAAGCGUGGGGAGCAAACAGG